CCGCGACUCUGUUAGAGAGAGAGAGAGAGAGAGACGUUGAAAGUGAUGAAGAUUAGGAGCUUCUGGAUCGUGGCCGGAUCUCUGAAUUGGCGGAAGAGAUGGCGUAGCCGAAAAGGUUGGAGUUAUCUAUUUGAUCUGGCUGCAAAUUGGGAUUGGGAGGUUGAAGUUUAAGAUGUUCUUGGUCGUUGGCGGAUCUCAGAGUUUGAUGAAGAGGGCUUGGAUUGUUUUUUCGCUUCUGUCUGCAUAAUUGGGAACUUGGGAACACUUCUUCCUCAAAUUAACAAGGUAAAUGAUGUUACCAGCUCUGCUUCACUCACUAUGUCAUUAAAAUGAAACAUGCUGAUGACACAAAUCUUCGUACUAUAGCUCAGCUAUCUGCAAACCUUAAGCAAAAAAGGUGUUUUUUGUUUUUUUUUUUUUACCAACCGUAAAUUUGUUUUCACUGUUACCUAAUUUUUUUUUACUGCCGGGAGAACUAUAUAAGGAUACGCUUCUGUCUCUCCUUCCUGCGAGUCCUACAAGCAGCAGCAGCGCAGUCAGUUCUUCCUGAGAUAUUUACUCUACGCCGUGAAUGGCAGAUCUCGAGCUAUAUCCUCCGGAGCCCUCUUUGAACGACAUCGACCUAGCUGUUCUGCCUCCCGAUGUGGCCGCGAUUCUGGAAGAUUUUCUAGACAGAGCACUUGUCGCUACGGAAUGAAAUACCCUAUUUAACAAUGCUGCAGUUUUGGGUCCAGCCCGCAACCCUAACAAUGUACCGCCUUUAACUGCAGGAAUGUGGAGAGUGGAUAACAUCCACAUGGGGGACCGAAACCUCUGGUGGCCCGCGUUGACAAGCAUAGGUCGCCGAGUUACGGAUGGUGUACUGGUCUUCAACACAAGAAAAGCUGUUGGGAGACUUUUCAUCAAUGGUGACGGUCUUGUUGUCGGUGACGGUCUUGUUGUUGGUGACGGUCUUGUUGUCGGCCAUCUCGCUCCGCCACCACCAUUGUUGGUCUUGAAGAGAUUGACGGUCAGGAGACCCGCUCUUUUGGCCCAUCAUUGGGGCGUUCCCAGAGUGGCAUUCUCCCUAUACUACUUUGAGGAGAUGUUUGAAGGAUGAGUGAGGUUUGAGUCUUGAAACUUUGAGUCUUGAAGAGUUUUUGAUGUUUGAAACUUUGAGUCUUGAAGAGUCUUGAAGAGUUUUUGAUGUUUGAA